rnacentral:tRNA from 1 species
GCUUUCGUGGUGUAACGGUUAACGCACUCGGCGCAUAUUCGAGAGAUCCAGGUUCGAGUCCCGGAGAGGGCA